CUCCUGGGGGCGGGGCUCUGAGGGGCGCAACCAGCGGGGCAGGCGCUUACGCAGAUCCAGCACGCCCUGGAGUCGUGGAGCCGUGGACCCUUGGGAGUCCCGCGUGAUGUGAUUGCUCUGUGGAGACCUACCCACACUCCCCGAAAAAUUAUUCAAGGAGAUUAAUCAUUGAAGACUACCUUGACAAAUGUGAUGUCUAAAAAGUCAACCAACCCACAAGAGUACAUGAUGCACCUAGCCUUCUGGUUUAGCCAGAAUCCCAACUUUACAGCCAAACAAAAACAGGCACCUCUUCCAUGGAAACCCAACCAGCUUUCAGAGGACAGAACUGCCCUUGAAAAUGCUAAAAUGGGGGAAAACAGCUUGAGAAUGCUGUGAGGCAAGACAGACUGACGUGAAAGAUAUUUUCAUUCCCACUCCCUUGGUGCCAACUCAGGGCAAAGUUGGGAAACCAGUGCACGAUGUGCUGUAAAGUAAUACUGAAUGGAGCAGGUGAGUGAAGGAUGGAGUGAGAAUGGAAAAGUGAGUCAGACAUGAAGUCACAACCCUGAAUUUAUCCGCAAGGUAAUUGUCAGUGGCAAUAAUGGGCAAAUUUCUUUCACUAGUUAGUGGCACAUUAACUUAUGCUGUAAAUAUUUGCAUUCUCCACAGAGCACAGCAUAAUGUUCUCAGUACAGGAGUGGAUGGGGAGAGGAAUUUAGUUCUUAAUUUCAUUCUGCUUCUUCAGUCACUGGUUUCUGUUGCGUGCCGAAGGAGAGAAAAUUACUCUACAUGAACAAAUAGCAAUUUAGGGUGCACAGGGGGGAAAAGGGUGUUCUGCUACCAUGGCUUUAUUUAGAAGCAUGCUAAGAGAAAUUACUGAGGGAGCAUAUACUUUGUUUCUAUAGCCAUUUUUCUGUAUUACUGUUUUCUAACAAAAAUGACCAUCUUUUUUUUUUUUCCGCAAAGUAGGUGAGGGUUUUAAAUUGAAAAGGACCUAUAUCAUAGGUCUUUGAAUGUUGAUCUUAUAAAUAAAUGGCCCUAAAACCACCUCAAGUCUUAGU